rnacentral:lncRNA from 1 species
AUGCGGCAGUGUCAAGAUUCACCGAAAGAAAACGACUUCUCUCUCCCUCCAUCUUUCUCUCUCUCCCUCGACCUUUCUCUCUCUCCCUCCACAUUUUUCUCUCUCCCUCCACCUUUCUCUCUCUCCCUCCAUCUUUCUCUCUCUCCCCUUCUCUCUCCCUUCAUCUUUCCUCUCCCCGUCUCUCUCUCUCUCCACCUUUCUCUCUCUCCACCUUUCUCUCUCUCCACCUUUCUCUCUCUCCACCUUUCUCUCUCUCCCCUUAUCUCUCCCUCCACCUUUCGCUCUCUCCCCUUCUCUCUCCCUUCAUCUUUCCUCUCCCUGUCUCUCUCUCUCUCCACCUUUCUCUCUCUCCCUCCACCUUUCUCUCUCUCCACUUCUCUCUCCCUCCAUCUUUCUCUCUCCCCUUCUCUCUCCCUCCAUCUUUCUCUCUCUCCCCUUCUCUCUCCCUCCAUCUUUCUCCCUCUCCCUCCACCUUUCUCUCUCCCUCCAUCUUUCUCUCUCUCCCCUUCUCUCUCUCUACGCCUCUCUCUCUGUGCCUCUCUCUCCCUCCACCAUUCUCUCUCUCCCUUCACCUUUCUCUCUCUCCCUCCACCUUUCUCUCUCUCCUUCUCUUUCCCUCCAUCUUUCUCUCUAUCCCCUUCUCUCUCUCUCCCCUUCUCUCUCUCUACAUCUUUCUCUCUCUUCCCUUCUCUAUCUCUCUCCCCUUCUCUCUCCCUCCACCUUUCUCUCCCUCCACCUUUGUCUCUCUCCCCUUAUCUCUCCCUCCAUCUUUCUCUCUCUCCCCUUCUCUCUCUCUCUCCACCUUUCUCUCUCUCCCCUUAUCUCUCCCUCCAUCUUUCUCUCUCUCCCCUUCUCUCUCCCUCCAUCUUUCUCUCUCUUCCCUUCUCUCUCUCUUUCUCUCCCCUUCUCUCUCUCUCCAUCUUUCUCUGUCUCCCCUUUUCUCUCUCUCCACCUUUCUCUCUCUCCCCUUCUCUCUCCCUCCAUCUUUCUCUCUCUCCCCUUCUCUCUCCCUCCACCUUUCUCUCUCUCUCCUUCUCUCUCCCUCCACCUUUCUCUCUCUCCCUCCACCUUUCUCUCUCUCCCCUUCUCUCUCCCUCUAUCAGUAUGAACAGGAGCUAUAUUCACCAGUACAGUCUCUCCAAUCAAGUAUUAACUCAAAAUGUGUGUUUGUGUGUGUUUUUGACUGUGUAUGCUCUCAUAGUAUCAGAAGCCUUCUACUAUUCUCCUGACACCACAGGCGGCUGA